rnacentral:rRNA from 1 species
GACGGAGGGGGCUAGCGUUGUUCGGAAUUACUGGGCGUAAAGGGUGCGUAGGCUGACACGUAAGUCAGAGGUGAAAUCCCCGAGCUUAACUUGGGAAUUGCCUUUGAUACUGCGUGUCUUGAAUGAUAGAGAGGCAAGUAGAAUUCCGAGUGUAGAGGUGAAAUUCGUAGAUAUUCGGAGGAAUACCGGUGGCGAAGGCGGCUUGCUGGCUAUUUAUUGACGCUGAGGCACGAAAGCGUGGGGAUCAAACAGG